UACAGAGGGGGCAAGCGUUGUUCGGAAUUACUGGGCGUAAAGCGCACGUAGGCGGCUUGGAAUGUCGGGGGUGAAAUCCCCGGGCUCAACCUGGGAACUGCAUCCGAAACUGCCUUGCUAGAGUAUGGGAGAGGGAAGUGGAAUUUCCGGUGUAGCGGUGAAAUGCGUAGAUAUCGGAAGGAACAUCAGUGGCGAAGGCGACUUCCUGGACCAAUACUGACGCUCAGGUGCGAAAGCGUGGGGAGCAAACAGG
rnacentral:rRNA from 1 species